ACGAACGCUGGCGGCGCGCCUAAUACAUGCAAGUCGAGCGAGAAGACGUAGCAAUACGUUUGUAAAGCGGCGAACGGGUGAGGAAUACAUGGGUAACCUACCCUCGAGUGGGGAAUAACUAGCCGAAAGGUUAGCUAAUACCGCGUACGCUCCUUGGACUUCGGUUCAGGGAGGAAAGCGAUACCGUGGGUAUCGCGCUCUUGGAUGGGCUCAUGUCCUAUCAGCUUGUUGGUGAGGUAACGGCUCACCAAGGCUUCGACGGGUAGCUGGUCUGAGAGGACAAUCAGCCACACUGGCACUGCGACACGGGCCAGACUCCUACGGGAGGCAGCAGUAAGGAAUAUUGCGCAAUGGGCGAAAGCCUGACGCAGCGACGCCGCGUGGGGGAUGAAGGUCUUCGGAUUGUAAACCCCUUUCGGGAGGGAAGAUGGAACGAGCAAUCGUUCGGACGGUACCUCCAGAAGCAGCCACGGCUAACUUCGUGCCAGCCGCCGCCGUAAU
rnacentral:rRNA from 1 species